rnacentral:rRNA from 1 species
UGACACUGAACAUUGAGCCUUGAUGUGUAGGAUAGGUGGGAGGCUUUGAAGUGUGGACGCCAGUCUGCAUGGAGCCGACCUUGAAAUACCACCCUUUAAUGUUUGAUGUUCUAACGUGGACCCGUUACCCGGGUUGCGGACAGUGUCUGGUGGGUAGUUUGACUGGGGCGGUCUCCUCCUAAAGAGUAACGGAGGAGCACGAAGGUUGGCUAAUCCUGGUCGGACAUCAGGAGGUUAGUGCAAUGGCAUAAGCCAGCUUGACUGCGAGCGUGACGGCGCGAGCAGGUGCGAAAGCAGGUCAUAGUGAUCCGGUGGUUCUGAAUGGAAGGGCCAUCGCUCAACGGAUAAAAGGUACUCCGGGGAUAACAGGCUGAUACCGCCCAAGAGUUCAUAUCGACGGCGGUGUUUGGCACCUCGAUGUCGGCUCAUCACAUCCUGGGGCUGAAGUAGGUCCCAAGGGUAUGGCUGUUCGCCAUUUAAAGUGGUACGCGAGCUGGGUUUAGAACGUCGUGAGACAGUUCGGUCCCUAUCUGCCGUGGGCGCUGGAGAACUGAGGGGGGCUGCUCCUAGUACGAGAGGACCGGAGUGGACGCAUCACUGGUGUUCGGGUUGUCAUGCCAAUGGCACUGCCCGGUAGCUAAAUGCGGAAGAGAUAAGUGCUGAAAGCAUCUAAGCACGAAACUUGCCCCGAGAUGAGUUCUCCCUGAGACUUAGAGUCUCCUGAAGGAACGUUGAAGACGACGACGUUGAUAGGCCGGGUGUGUAAGCGCAGCGAUGCGUUGAGCUAACCGGUACUAAUGAACCGUGAGGCUUAACCUUACA